ACUAUCGUCAGCGACGCACGGUACGGCUCACUCUGAUAUUGGAUUUUCUCUGCUUGAGACAUCUUUGUUCAGAUUGACCCUUUUGCUCUCCUUUCCACGGAUUAAUAUUGUGAGCGGAUUCAUACGAGUACGUUCUGUCUUUCAACUUUGCGGUUCAACCAAAGAAGUUCGUUGUCAAGAUGCCUCGUGCCUCGCGCGCUUCGGCUGCAGCCAAGGUGAGGAGGAGGACGAUUCUUCCGAUGGCAACGACUCUGGCUAGAGGCUUCCUCCCUG